UUCUCUUUACCGCAAAUCAAUGAGGGUCGAUUUCUUCAAUGAUACGUGCCUUUCGCGGGGUUGGACUUGAGAAGUCCUAAAUGUUGUUCGUCCUCUGCACUGCUAAGCUUCUCCGCAGCGGCAAAGAUGGAGAGGUGCAUAAGCAUAAUGAUUUCGAUUUCUGUUGCUCCUAAUUAAAUUAGUAGCAUAUAUAAAUUUAAUGAACCAGAAAUAAUUGGAGAUGAUAACUCUUAAAAGAUUUUUAGGCCGGAAAGGGGCAAACACGAGACCGAUGUGUGUUGAACUGAAAUGGGAGACAAGAGGCUGACCACCAUAUUUGAUCGAGAGGAGAAAUCCUUGCUGUCUUCUCUAGUGUGCUGCUCCUGUUCCGCUGGCUUCACUCUCAUCGUUUCUGGAACUAUUUUCACAAUUUUCUUUCGCAAAUUUGCAGUUGCUGAAUUUGAAAGUGCAGUUGUGAUUCUCUGGGUAUUAGGAAUCGUGUUUACCAUAACUGGCUUCAUCGUCGCAAUAGCGGUGGUAUGGAAUCGCCAGACAAUGCCUAAAAUUUCAUCAGCGGCUACGGCCGACGUCACCCCCGACCCUUAUUCCUUAACACCUGUUUAUCCUGCGAAUCCGAAUGCCAGUUCCGGACUUGUUACUCAUGGCCCACAAAUACUUCUGUUGCCUGGUGGACUGGAGCCAUUGUAUGUCACUCUUCGUAAUGAUACUUAAGUAAGGAAAAAGAAAACUAUUUUUCCACAGCUGUUCCAAACAUCAUGUCUCGACAUCAGGAAUGCAGUCAAGCAUUCUUUUCGAAUGCCAUGAGUUAUAUCUUUGUACAGCUGUAAUGAAUAAUCAGAAUUUGUUUACAUA